ACAAAAACAAGAAGAUGGGGAGAAAAUGUAAACAACAACCAUGAGCCUCGGAAGGGACAUGGUCUAUUCUCCAAACUCUUGCCACACAACAGGGCGUAGCCAGCGUGAUGCAUGGGUAUUCCUAGGAAUACCCAAAAAUCAACUAUAUAUCAUAUAUAUACAACGUAUACAGGUUAUAAAAGUGACCGUUGGCCUAGCAUUCAGGCAUCAACACCGCCCUAGCCAUCGGAAUUGAGUUGCUCCUGCUUGUCGUUCGUUCCUCAGCCUCCAAAUCGAAAUCGGACCUAGGCCAGGGCGACCAAUGGGCAGCAGGAGACGGCAGCGGCCCGUGCUCCGAGAUCGUACCGUUCUACUGUUGUACGCGUCGUCGACGGCUCGUCCGUGAUCGAGUGCGGCGGCGCGCGCUGCUCCUUCCCGCGUCAAAUUUGCCGUAGCUCUCGCUUCUUCCUCUCCAAAAUCUCCCGUCACCGGUGUUCAAUCUCUCCACAAAAGAGCAAGGACGUCGUCAUCCAUCUCCUUCCAUGGCCACUCCUCAUCCAUAGGUAAACUCAUAUCGAAAUACCCCACGCUCCUCUCCACAAGCCAUCCCAGUUCUCUCCUCUUCCCGAACUUCUCCGAGCCCGCAAAGCUCCCGUUCAUGGCAGCUAUGGCCACCCAUCUCCACUUCCUUCCUCACCUCCUGGACCAAGCAAAAUGGAUUCCACUCCUAUAGAUACUUUGUAUUCUCCAACAAGCAACAAAUAACAAAAUAACAUAUAAAGAUCAAUUUAUACUUGAUUGACAUAAUCUAUAGAUACAUGCAUGAACUAAAUAAACAACCUAAUAGACAGACCACUAUAUGCUUUAUCUGUUUUGCCGUGUAUACGUGACAUGGUAUGUGUUUGCAAACAAGAGCUAUCUAAAUUGUUGAACAUGUCCUUUGCUUUUAA
rnacentral:lncRNA from 1 species